AAGUCGUAACAAGGUAACCGUAGGUGAACCUGCGGUUGGAUCAUUAGUGGUUUUUACGUAGCGCUGUUGUAGUGUUUCUGUGUGGUGUUUGUGUGUGGUCUUUGAGUUUGUUGUUGUUUGUCUUUUUGUUUGUCUGUUUUUGUGCAUUGUCUUGUGCAAUGUCUUGUGCAUUGCCUUGUGCAUUGUCUUGUGCAGUGCCUUGUGCGGUGCCUGGCAGUACAAACGAUCGACGGCAACACUCGGACCAGACCCAAGACCUUUACAGACAAUAGACGUCUUUGCUUGCUUUGAUGAAACCAAAUCAAAAACAACUUUUGACAACGGAUCUCUUGGCUCUC
rnacentral:misc_RNA from 1 species